AAUGUAAUAAAGGGAUACCUAGGUAUCAAAAAAUAUAGAGUUGUGAAUUGCAAUAAUAAAGUAAGAGAGCAAUAGCUCGAUGAAGACUUUGUUACUCAUAAGAGAAAUCUAAUAAGACUUAAGACUUAAGAAACAAGGUGAAGUAAAACAUUAUAGUAACCUUUUGUAAAAAUCAACCGAGAGUUUGUCAGUAGCGGUGAGCGAAAGCAAAUAAGUUUUGUAGUAUUAUCAAACGUCACUUGAAUCAUCCAUAGAAGGUCUGAGUCCUGUAAACAUACGUUAAUAAAUACUACGUUAAUUUUAUGACGAAUUAUGCUAAAUUUGUCAUUUUUAAGAGGAAUUUCCCUCAAACUAAAAAUUUUUGAUAACCGAUAGUAAACAAGUACCGUGAGGGAAAGGUGAAAAAGAACUUUUAUAAGGUUUAAAAGAACUUGAAAUUUAUUACAUAUUAUCUGUUGGAGCUGAGAAUUUAAUUCUUGGUGACAGCGUACCUUUUGCAUAAUGGACCAAUAAGUUUACUUUUGUAGCGAAUUUAAUAACAAGAUAAAAAUAACCUAAGUGUUAAAACGCGCUUUUAGUUACAAUAGUAAGAUCCGAAGCUGAGUGAUCUAACCAUGAACAGGCUGAAAUUUGUCACUAGCAAUAGUGCUUGGAGGGCCGAACCCGUGUCUGUAGAAAAAGAUUGGGAUGAUUUGUGGUUAGGGGUGAAAGGCUAAUCAAACUCAGUUAUAGCCGAUUUUCUGCGAAAUAUAUUUAAGUAUAGCCUACAAAUAAGAAAGUUAAGGGGUAGAGCUCUUUUGUAAGGAGGGGGGCAUUAGCCUUACUGAGUUAUGAAAAACUACGAAUACUAACUCUUUUUUUUGUGGAGUCAGAUAGUGAGCGCUAAGGUUCACUAUCGAGAGGGAAACAGCCCAGAUUAAAAAAUAAGGUCUUUAAAUAUGAUUUAAGUGAUAAGAGUGUUAAAAAGUGUUCACAAUUAUAAAGUGGGCUCGGAAGCAGCCAUCUUUUGAAGAAAGCGUAACAGCUCAUUAAUCUAACUUUUUUGCCUCGAAGAUUUAUAGAGACUAAAAUCAUUACCGAAUUUUUAAAAAGUAAUUUAUAUUACUUUGGUAGCAGAACGAUCAAUAUUAAUAAAGUUAACUUGAAAAAGUUAAUUGCUAAAUUUGAUGCGAGCAUAUUGGUAUUAGUAGCUAAAACAAUGUUUAAUCAUUGUCGCCGGAAAUCCAAGGUAUACAAGAACAUGCUAAACAUACUUGUUAAUAUUAAAACGAUCCCUAAGGAAAAUUACAAAAGUAUAAUCUGAUGGGUUUUGUGUGAGUUGUGACAGAGUCUGUAAAUUCAGAAUGCGAUCGUAGUGACCCUGAAGUCAUGAGGACAAACGGAGUGUUCUGGCUGGACUCUCUGGAAAUAGCACUCACUUCUUUGAUAGACAAUCGUACCCUAAACCGACACAGGUGGAUAAGUAGAACAUACUAAGGCGAUCAAGAAAACUAUAUUGAAGGAACUCGGCAAAUUAACUCUGUAACUUCGGGAGAAGGAGUGACAUCUUGGUUAACGCCAAGAAUGUUGGCACUAAAGAAGAAGAAACGACUGUUUAACAAAAACACAAGUCUCUGCAAAUUCGAAAGAAGAAGUAUAGAGACUGACACCUGCCCGGUGCUGUAAGGUAAUGUGGAGAUGUAUAUGCAUCGAAAUUAAGCCCCAGCAAACGGCGGCUGUAACUCUGACGGUCCAAAGGUAGCGAAAUUCCUUGUCGGGUAAGUUCCGACCUGCAUGAAUGGUGUAACGAUUUCUUCACUGUCUCCAAUAUAGACUUGGUGAAUUUGAAAUACUCGUGAAGAUGCGAGUUUCUUGCGGUUAGACGGAAAGACCCCGUGCACCUUUACUAUGAUUUUAAGUUGUUAAAAUAAAUAAGCUGUGUAAGUGUUAAGUGGGAGCGUAAAAGCGAUAGGUGAAAGACCACUCUGUUUAUUUGUUUCAACUAAUUUUUUAAAAGACAGCUUAUGAGAGGUAGUUUGACUGGGGCGGUCGCCUCCUAAAAAGUAACGGAGGCGUACAAAGGCGAGCUCAGGUUUAACAGACCGAAGAGUGUAAUGGCAAAAGCUCGCUUGACUGUAAGAUUGACAAAUCGAACAGGGAUGAAAGUCGGUCAUAGUGAUCCGGUGAUUUAACGUAAGAUAAUCAUCGCUCAACGAAUAAAAGGUACGCCGGGGAUAACAGGCUGAUGGUUUCCGAGAGUCCAUAUUGACGAGACCGUUUGGCACCUCGAUGUCGGCUCAUCGCAUCCUGGGGCGGUAGUACGUCCCAAGGGUUGGGCUGUUCGCCCAUUAAAGCGGUACGUGAGCUGGGUUCAGAACGUCGUGAGACAGUUCGGUCCAUAUCCGGCGUGAGCGUUAGAGUAUUGCGAGUGGCCUUUCUCUAGUACGAGAGGAUCGAGAAAGAUAUACCUCUGGUCUACCAGUUAUUCUGCCAAGGGUAAACGCUGGGUAGCUAUGUAUAGUUUGGAUAACCGCUGAAAGCAUCUAAGUGGGAAGCCGUCCUCAAGAUGAGUACUCUUAGGCUGCGGAUAGACUAUCCGCUUGAUAGGAAUCAGGUGCAAAAUCAGCAAUGGUUGUAGCCGAGAUUUACUAAUAGCCGUAAAAGCAUUUUUU
rnacentral:rRNA from 1 species